GUUUAAAAUGGCAAUAGGAUUAAAGUUAGGUUGUUUGCAUUUUCUAAGUUAUAUGCGUAGGAGCGUAGGUGUACAUACAAAAUGAACUAAAAACCAGUAAAUGUGAGCGCAGAUAAUCCCGCCUCUUUGACGUCUAAUUUAUCCAGGUCUGGAAAAAUUGUACAAAAGGCGCUGCAAAUGAUUCGAACAUCCAAAAUGUCUCUAAAUGGUGAUAGUGAAUCCUCUGAAGAUAAUAAAGUUUCAUGUCGAUGGCAUCGUGCAGUAAUAUCUUCAGAUGAA